rnacentral:rRNA from 1 species
GAUGAACGCUAGCUACAGGCUUAACACAUGCAAGUCGAGGGGAAACGGCAUUGAGUGCUUGCACUCUUUGGACGUCGACCGGCGCACGGGUGAGUAACGCGUAUCCAACCUUCCCAUUACUGUGGGAUAACCUGCCGAAAGGCAGACUAAUACCGCAUAGUCUUCGAUGACGGCAUCAGAUUUGAAGUAAAGAUUUAUCGGUAAUGGAUGGGGAUGCGUCUGAUUAGCUUGUUGGCGGGGUAACGGCCCACCAAGGCUACGAUCAGUAGGGGUUCUGAGAGGAAGGUCCCCCACAUUGGAACUGAGACACGGUCCAAACUCCUACGGGAGGCAGCAGUGAGGAAUAUUGAUCAAUGGACGGAAGUCUGAACCAGCCAAGUAGCGUGCAGGAUGACGGCCCUAUGGGUUGUAAACUGCUUUUGUAUGGGGAUAAAGUUAGGGACGUGUCCCUAUUUGCAGGUACCAUACGAAUAAGGACCGGCUAAGUCCGUG